ACCAGACUCCUACGGGAGGCAGCAGUGGGGGAUAUUGCACAAUGGGGGGAACCCUGAUGCAGCGACGCCGCGUGGGUGAAGAAGUAUUUCGGUAUGUAAAGCCCUCUCGGCAGGGAAGAAAUUGGACGGUACCUGACUAAGAAGCCCCGGCUAACUACGUGCCAGCAGCCGCGGUAAUACGUAGGUGGCAAGCGUUGUCCGGAUUUACUGGGUGUAAAGGGCGUGUAGCCGGGAAGGCAAGUCAGAUGUGAAAUCCGGAGGCUCAACCUCCGAAUUGCAUUUGAAACUGUUUUUCUUGAGUACUGGAGAGGCAGACGGAAUUCCUUGUGUAGCGGUGAAAUGCGUAGAUAUAAGGAGGAACACCAUUGGCGAAGGCGGUCUGCUGGACAGCAACUGACGGUGAGGCGCGAAAGCGUGGGGAGCAAACAGGAUUAGAUACCCGAGUAUU
rnacentral:rRNA from 1 species